rnacentral:rRNA from 2 species
GAAUAUUGGUCAAUGGUCUAACGACUGAACCAGCAAUUUGGAAGAACGUAUAAUAAAUAAAUUAUUUAAAGUUCUAGAUAAAAUAUUUAUAAUGACUAUUUUUUAUCUAUAAGUCUUGGCCAAAUUACGUGCCAGCAGUCGCGGUAAUACGUAAAAGACGAGUGUUAUUCAUCUUUAAUCGGUUUAAAGGGUACCUAGACGGAAAAUCAAGCUUAAUUAAACUAAGGACUAGUUUUCUAGAGUUUGACAUGAGAAGGUACGAACUAUCAGAGGAGAGAUAAAAUUUGUUGAUACUGGUGGGACGGACAACGGCGAAGGCAAUCUUCUACUAAAAACUGACGUUGAGGGACGAAGCCUUGGGGAGCGAGAAGGAUUAGAUACCCUAGUAGUCCUUGGAGAAAAUUAUGAGUGCCAUAGACUAAAGUGAAAAAGAAGUUCUUUUAAAAGAACUUUGUAUCUGAGCCUUAAUUGGAUACAAAGGUCUCGAGUAGCAGUUUAUAAAUGAAAGUGUAAGCAUUCCACCUCAUGACUAAAGCGGCAACGCCCAAAUUGAAAUCAUUAGACCGUUUCUGAAACCAGUAGUGAAGUAUGUUAUUUAAUUCGAUAACCCGCGAAUAACCUUACCACGUUUUGAAUUUAUUAAACAAGUGUUGCACGGCUGUCUUCAGUUAAUGUCGUGAGAUUUUGGUUUGUUCCAUUAAUUAACGAAAACCCUUGUUUCAUUUUUAUAUGAAAUAGUUCACCGUUAUAUUGGAAAGAUAAAAGGGAUCAAGACAAG